GGACAGAUGGCCGAGCUGGGUGGGUUUCAUCACAUUUCGAUCUCGACUCGAAAGGGGCGUGGGUUCGAGUCCCACUCUGUUCA
rnacentral:tRNA from 1 species